rnacentral:rRNA from 1 species
UUAGCUAGUUGGUGAGGUAAGGGCUCACCAAGGCGACGAUCCCUAGCUGGUCUGAGAGGAUGAUCAGCCACACUGGAAGUGAGACACGGUCCAGACUCCUACGGGAGGCAGCAGUGGGGAAUAUUGCACAAUGGGCGCAAGCGUGAUGCAGCCAUGCCGCGUGUGUGAAGAAGGCCUUCGGGUUGUAAAGCACUCUCAGUCGUGAGGAAGGUAGUGUAGUUAAUAGCUGCAUUAUUUGACGUUAGCGACAGAAGAAGCACCGGCUAACUCCGUGCCAGCAGCCGCGGUAAUACGGAGGGUGCGAGCGUUAAUCGGAAUUACUGGGCGUAAAGCGCAUGCAGGUGGUUUGUUAAGUCAGAUGUGAAAGCCCGGGGCUCAACCUCGGAAUAGCAUUAGAAACUGGCAGACUAGAGUACUGUAGAGGGGGGUAGAAUUUCAGGUGUAGCGGUGAAAUGCGUAGAGAUCUGAAGGAAUACCGGUGGCGAAGGCGGCCCCCUGGACAGAUACUGACACUCAGAUGCGAAAGCGUGGGGAGCAAACAGGAUUAGAUACCCUGGUAGUCCACGCCGUAAACGAUGUCUACUUGGAGGUUGUGGCCUUGAGCCGUGGCUUUCGGAGCUAACGCGUUAAGUAGACCGCCUGGGGAGUACGGUCGCAAGAUUAAAACUCAAAUGAAUUGACGGGGGCCCGCACAAGCGGUGGAGCAUGUGGUUUAAUUCGAUGCAACGCGAAGAACCUUACCUACUCUUGACAUCCAGAGAACUUUCCAGAGAUGGAUUGGUGCCUUCGGGAACUCUGAGACAGGUGCUGC